GAUGUAGUUGAUGUGCUAAUUUCUGUGUUUAUUCUUGCUUUGCUGCUGUUUUCUUCUCAACAAGUCAAAUUGAGGUUGCACUGUGCUCAUUUCUGUGUUUCUUCAUGCUUUGCUACUGUUUCUAAUAUGAUUUAGCUAAUGCAAAACCUUUAUAUUGAUUCCCAUUGACCUUUAUUUCAUAUUGUUUCCCCCUUUAAUUUUAGGUCAAUGCAGCAAGAAGGGCAGGAGCUCAUGGUGUAAUUGUUGGAUGCGCUUCGUGUAAUACAUCAAACACAAGUCUUGACAAUUGGUUGUAGGAAGCUCUCUGUACUCAAGUUUAGAUCGGGCUCGCAUCGUGGAAUCAUAAUCUGCUCUUGCUGCUGCCUUUAAUGAAGGGGUUCUGAGCCAUUACAUUUCAAUCAAGCCUUUGAAAUUUGGACCGCUGGAGGAAGAAGUUGGUUUCUUGAUGUUUUGAGGUAUAUAAUUAUGUGCCAUCAUUUUUUUCAAAGCCUAAUUAGUUUUCUACCUUUUUUUAUUUAUAUUCGUGAAGCUUUCAUGCUUGGAUUUUAAAUAUAUGAUUAAUUUUUGUUCAUUUUAGCUUAUAUUGGAACUGAGUUUCUUUCUUUUUUAUGUGCGUAUCUGUUAUCUAUCCAUUUAUGCGAAGGUUGAGUAACUAAGCAUUUAUUUGGUGGUUUGAGCCUAGAAUGGAAUUGGGCUUCUUUCUAUUUUGUGAACGUAUCUGUAUUUGUCUAUUUAUGUAAAGAUUGAGAAAACUGAGUAGUGGGUGUAUUAGUUCCAAACGACAUUCAAAUUGGAUGAUUGGUUUAUUUGUUCUAAACCCCGUUACAAUUGUAUUUGCUUGGAUGGGCUGUAGGUAUAGGGAUAGUUAGAUUACGAAUUUUGUUUUGGCAUUUUGUGAUUGGGAUCUAAUUCCAGGUUUUGUGUUCAUGUCUCCAUGUUGUUUUUGUUCUGUUUAUGUGGUUGGUUUGGGAUCUUAUUGUCCAAUGGUUGGACGGUUGGUUUGUUUUUUUUUUUUUUUCUUUUAAUUUUGUUUGUGUGAUUCUGUUAGGGUUGAAGGUGCCUUGCUAACUCUCUUAUUCUGGUUUAGGCCAGCAUUGUAGCUUUUUUUAUCAAACGUUGUUAGACAUUUCAUCUCUGUGAUUCUGUUAUUGGUUGGUUGGUGUUUUAAUUGGGUUUUUUUCAAUAGUUAACUAUUUCAUCAUUCCCGAAUUACUUUAACAUAUGCUGUUCAUAACUGCACUUUCUCAA